GCAUUUCCAUAGUUCCUCCUGGCCCCGGUCAGUUAUGCACAGAUGGUACAAAGGGUUCAUUCAGCAGGAGAACCUGAGGCCUAGCAGCCUGUCCAAACCCUGCAGCAGUGGGCAGAUCGUUGGAGAAGGCCUGGAGAGGAGCAGCUGGCAGAGGCGGCUCCUUGAAAACAGAGCAGCACUCGUGGCCGGGCGCGGUGGCUCACACCUGUAAUCCCAGCACUUUGGGAGGCCAAGGUGGGCAGAUCACGAGGUCAGGAGAUCAAGACCAUCCUGGCUAACACGGUGAAACCCCGUCUCUACUAAAAAUACAAAACGUUAGCCGGGCAUGGUGGCGGGUGCCUGUAGUACCAGCUACUCGGGACGCUGAGGCAGGAGAAUGGCGUGGACGUGGGAGGCAGAACUUGCAGUGAGCCGAGAUGGCGCCACUGCACUCCAGCCUGGGUGACAGAGCAAGACUCUGUCUCAAAAAAAAAAAAAAGAACAAAAAAAAACAGAGCAGCACUCAACCACAAUUGCCCCUCAGCCCUUCCACUGGUCCCAUGAGAGUAAGCAUUUCUCCCGGGCACAGUCUGUUUUCGUCUGUAUCUGUAUCCCCAGGCAUCCGUCCAUGCCUGACCCUUGCGAACUGCUCAUAGUGCUGAUGAAUGAAUGCACCGACGAAAGAAUGAAUUGGAAAACCCAGUUUCCUCAGUACUGUCAAAUUCUAAUUUCCAGUCCUCUUUAGCACCUGCUCAGACCAGCAAAGAACAGAACUUGAGCCACAGAUGGUGAUUGGAUUUGGGCAACAUGGCCCCAUAUAUGGGUCUAUCUCCCACUAGGAGCUGGUGCAAGUGACAGGGAAAAGUCCCAGAAAAGUCUUUCUUGGUGAAUUAGCCUGUUUGUUGCAACACUUUUGUAGGUGUAAUUCCAUCUCUUUUUUCUCUAAAGGAACAUGCAGAGAGAAAUGAGGCGGGGACAAUUGGCUCACAUGUUGUCAGAUGAUGUCCCUUGAGAAGUCCCUGGACUGCUGAGACCUCUCCCAUUGCCCAGUCCAUAGUCAGAGAGGCCCCAGUAUCCCCAUGCUGCCCACCACGAGCUCCCUCUGUUGCAACAGUAACUUGUGCCCCAGCGCUUGCUCCCCCUAAGCUUCUUGUAAGUCUCUGUCUGACAGCCCUGUGUCUUCGCACAAUGUCUGGUAUGCCAUGAGGAUUUAAUAAGUAACCAAUAAGUGAUAGGAUGAAUGUCUAUUUGUUGGAUUGAGCUGUGAGGGUGGUAAAGGUCUACAUUCUCCGUGGAUCUAAGGACUGCCUUUUUUUUUUUUUUGAGACGGCGUCUUGCUCUGUCACCCAGGCUGGAGUGCAGUGGUGCAAUCUCAGCUCACUGCAAGCUCUGCCUCUCGGGUUCACGCCAUUCUCCUGCCUCAGCCUCCUGAGUAGCUGGGACUACAGGCGCCCGCCACCAUGCCCGGCUAAUUUUUUUGUAUUUUUAGUAGAGACAGGGUUUCACCAUGUUAGCCAGGAUGGUCUCGAACCCCUGACCUUGUGAUCUGCACACCUCGGCCUCCCAAAGUGUUGGGAUUACAGGCAUGAGCCACUGCGCCUGGCCCAGAACUAUCUCUUAGUCAUCUUGAUACUGUUAGCAUCUAGAGUUGUUCUUCAGUAAACAGCAAAUAAAUGCAUUCCUCAGAUAAAUAUCUUUCAAUGCCUUAAAAAUGAAUCUAAUUUUAUUGUUGAGGUUAUUCAGUUAUAGCAAUCCUUUAAAGACAAUGAAAAGGGAAUAAACCCUAAAACCAAAAGACCUGGGUUAAAAUCUCACUUCUAUGUAGGGAAUUUGGUCCCAUUCUUAGACUUAGCCUCCAGCUCAGAAUUGGACAGAGAGAGGUUGGAAGAGACCCAGAGAGGCUGUCCUGUGGAAAAUGAACAUCUUGAGUGUCUUGAGAAAAUUAGCAAACCUUGCUGAGCUUCAGUUUCUUCCCAUGUAAAAUAAUUCCUGCUAUUGUCCAUGCAGGAAGCAUUGUAUUCUGCACAGCCAGCAACAGGAACAGCAGAAAUGUCAUUCUUUCCCCUGUGUUUCAGUGUCUUCCAAUUUCAGAUAAUGAGUUUGGACCAGAUGGUCGCUAAUGGUUAUUCCAGCUCAAUAUUUGCUAAUUUUCUAAAAACUGAAGAAAGGAGCUUGGGGGUGUGUUUUGGGGCAAUGUCUUGCAAGACUGAGACAUGAGGGGGACAUCAGAUCGGGGGCCUUGGGGAGUCAAGGUCAGGCCUAAGUUAUAUUCUUGCCCGUCUCUGCCCUCUUCCUCCCCCGACCUCGCUGUCCUCAUAGCCACCCUAUUUUAAUAUGCUUGGCCUGAUCCCCAGCUAGAUCAAUUUCAUUUCAGGAACUUUGAUACCUGAGCUGUGGCUCUGGAAACUAUAUCUCCAGAGGCAACACAAUUCACCAAAAACUAAUCGCUGGUGUCAAUUGGUAUUUAAAAAGUUAGACACAAUUUCAACCAAAAGCAGAUGCUUGACAUUUUAAUGGGAUGUUACCACAUUUAUGAAUUCCGAUACGCCUGAAAAAGUAUUUCUUAAGGAAUUUAAGAGACCCUUCUUUGUUACUUUUAUGAACCCUGAGGCAUACGGGUUAGCUACUCAUCUUCUAGUAGUUCACAGACUCUGCAAAGCAUGUGGCAUGAUGGAAAGAAUGAGACCUGAAAUGGGAAGGAAAGCCCCAUGUUCAAAAGUUCAUUCCUUCUCCUACUAAUUUGUUACUUAAAUGUCGGUUUCUUCACAGUGGAAAUAGAUCUUUUUUGCUCACCUUGUAGGAUGCCAUAUGGCUUGGAAGUAAGACAAUCCAAACACCGAGCCUCACACCUGGCUCUGGAACAGAACUGUUAGCUCUGCUGCUUAUCACUCUGCUGUUCUCUGAUCAUAAAAUGAUUCAUUGUUGGCUGGGCACAGUGGCUCACGCCCGUAAUCCCAGCAUUUUGGGAGGCCGAGGC
rnacentral:lncRNA from 10 species